CAUCUCCGAGAAUCAUAACCAGCUAUAUUGGCGACACCCUCCAAAGCUUCCCUCCAUGCCUUGACCUUUACUUCUUUCCCCACACAGGUUUUUUCAAAGGCUUUCCCGAAAUCUCCGGUCUGCUUCCUAACAUCAGAUGGAUCCACUUCGUAGAAAAUGGAUAUCACUUUUUGUUGAUCCCUCUCCAUGAUUUCCUCCAACUCAUCUUGAUCCUUUGCCUUGCCUUUCAUGAUCUCCACUAACUCAUCCAAACACCAGCUUGAAGAAGCGUAGUUAACGGAGAGCAAGACAAUGGCAACCCUUGACUCUCUGAUCGCUAGUACGAGCUCGGGACCGAUACGUUGGCCUCGUUCAAUCUCGUCAUCUAUGAAAGUUUGGAUUCCCUUGCUUUUGAGCUCUUUCAGAAGGUGACUAAGAAAGGUUUUGCGCACGUCUCGUCCACAGAAGCUCGGGAAGACAUCAUGUUUCAAAGUGCGAGACAGAGAAGCCAUGAGUAGAGAGCACGCAAUGAACUGAAGAACAUAAUCGCAAUGAUUUCAGCAAAAGAGAGAAAUAACAACGAUGACAAAUAACCUCAAAAAAAGAAUCCAAAGACAAGAGUAAAUAGAUAAGAAAGAGGAAAGUUUCAACGAGGAGACAGAACCACAGAAAAGAGUCCAACCAAAGACCGAGACGAGUGGAGAGGAAGACUCAUGGAAGAUUCAACGAUAUUUACUUUAAUAAAUUUGUAAUCCUUCAACUUUCCAUUUAUUACGAAACUGCUCCUAACCUUUUCCUUAUUCUCAUGAUGAUAUUCUCAUACGUUUCUUUAGGUUUUUCCCUCGGAAAGAACUGCAAAAUCUCAGUAAUAAUCAACAUUUAUAAAUAAACAGAUAUGUGCAUUCUGAGAAUAGGUCUAGUGCAUAUUCUCUCGUAACAUUAGACUAAUUAGGUACGUUCAGGGUUCAGGUUCUUGAUUGAGUUAGUUAACAUCACUAAACUUCUGGCUUCUCUUGAUAUAAUUAUCUAUGAACGUGCUGAUUGCGUUAAACCCACAAUGAUGGCAAAUAUGCGCUAACAAACUCAAAAAACAAAUAGAGAGUGAAACAAAACAGAUAGAUUACGUUUGACAUACCACAAGAAAGAGAGCCCAGGGAAAAUCUAAAGCUUUGAUAAAUUAGAGAUCAGAUGCACUUGGCUUUUAAUAAAUAACUUGAUAAGCCUAGUUAAGAAGAACAGAGAGUUCAUUGCUCUGUUACAUCUGGCGUGCUUACACAUAAACUAACAUCAAUAAAAUCCUGGUAAUCAUGUAAAGCCUACACAAAAGCUACAAACAGAUAGAUCACCAGUUUUCCAGAUGUUUGAUCAGUUAUACAACUUAACUAUGCUCAACAACAAGCCGCAACUUUCUCAUAAACCUAACGAUUAAUCCAACUAUGCAAAUGCCAUACAUCUCAGAACAAUGAAAUAACAUAGUCUUAAAUAUUAAAAUUUUGAAUUGAUUACUUCAGAGAAAUCAAAAUUUGUUUGGGCCACGUGACCUGUUUGUCGCUAGCUCUGUCCGCCACUGAUCUUCUAUAUGAAUAUGAGAGAGCUCCAAAAGUUGAAGAUCACACUCUUUUAUCACCCAAAAGUAAUCGUGAACCUUGAAGCCAAAGACAAGUUCGCUUUCUGCUUCAGGAUUGGGUCACAUGUCUAGAGAGAAAGAAGCUUCAAAUACAUAGAUAUGGUCUGUGAAUAGAUGUGGAGUUGGUAAUAGAUGCACACUCGAUCCAAAUGGAGUAGUGAGACCCUUCUGUUUGCCGUUGACGCGACAAGAUAACCACAUGGUAUCUUGUUUUUUUAUAAUGAUCGUUAUGUGGUAAGUAUGAUAAUCACCGUAGACUAUUCUGUUUACAGCUUACUCGACAAGACAAACGCCUCAAUGAAGUUUCACCCUCUUCAUCAUCGUCAUGAUUAUCAUCCUCGAGAUUAAUAUUGCCUUUUGACAGCAUGAUGCAAGCUUUGAAUCUGAAGAAGGAAGUAAAAGGUCUUGGAGUCAAAUUGAUCGUUAGGGAACAUGAAGUAGAUUGGUGAUUGAAGUGUGCAGACACUUGUUCACCCGGUAAGAUCACAUAUAUUCAAGCUGAUGUCUGAAUGAGUUUUCUCACUGUUUAGUUCAGGUUAAAGUAGUCAGCAAAGUUUAGGCAAAUCUUUGGAUUUUGAAAAGAGAGUUUAUUCUCUUCAUGGACCCACACCAUUUUUGUAUCUAGAGAUAGAAGUGUUAAAAUAGAGAGAAGAGUUGCUUGUUAUUGAAUGUCUCAAGCCAAAUAUAUAGUGCAAGGGAUUUAGGUUAAACCUAGGAGAUGAAAAGUAAAACAUGAUAACUUCUAUAACAAGAUUUGGAAUAUAUCGUAAUAAGAAGGGAACGUGGAAGCAGUGGAAGUGCUACAUUCUUUGAUGUCAAGCAUACAUAGUCGGAAGAGAUGUCCAAUGCAGUCUGGAAUAGUCUCCAAAACAUUACCGCGAAAACGUAAUGAUAUUGAAGAUGUAUGAGCCUUGUCGGGUAGACAAAUCGGAAAAAUGUUGUCAACGCCGAAGUCUGAUAAUAAUCUCCAACGUUGCUUCAAGUCAGGCCCCCACUCGAUUAUUGCAGCAUCAUUGUAUUCAACAUACUCACCAGACAUACCACAGCAACCAGUACACAGAACAAGAAGCUUAAGAUUCUCAACUUAAAAAUGUUUGUUUCAGCUUCUCGCAUCCAAACAUAAUUAGGUUAGGCAGACGAACUAGAUUCUCAACCCAUGGAGGGACCUCCUGUAAAAGUAGUACACCGCAGCCUUUGACCUUCCAGGCUUUAUCAUGGAAUAUGAACUCAAAAGAAAGCUCGCUGAAAGUGGUUUCUUCGGUUUCAGGGUAAUCCUGGUUUAGAGAGAAAGAAUCUUCAAAUAUAUACAAAUUCUCUCUACGUCCAUAUAGAUCUGGAAUAUGGACCUGGGUUGAUCCACGCCCGACUGUGAGGCCAUUCUGUUUACCCCUGACACGACAAGUGACACCCACGAAUGAAUCAUUCACAUCUACGGAAGUGGAAUCCUUGGGAUUAAUAUUGCCUUCUGACAGCAAGAUGCAAGCUUUGAAUCUGAAGGAUGAGGGAAGAGGUCUAGGAGUCAAAUUGAUCGUUAGGCAAUCUGAAGUAGCUCGGUGAGAGAAGUGUGCAGGAACUUCUUGACCCGGUAAGAGAACAUAUUUGCAAGCUGAUGUCAGGAUAAGCCUUCUUGCUUUUGGAUUCAGGUUGAAGCAGUUAGCAAAGUUUAGGCAAACCUUUGAAUUUUGAAAAGAAGAGUUUAUUCUCUCCAAGAAUGCACAACCUUGUGCUUCUAGAGAUAGAAGGGAACCUUGAAGCGGUGGAAGUGCUACGAGGUCUCUGCAUCCUGUGACGUCAAGUUUACUUAGUCCGGACAGACGGCUGAUGCAAUCUGGAAUAGUCUUGAAACCAUUACCGCGGAAACGUAAUGAUAUUGGAAACGUAAGAGCCUUCAUGGGUAGACAUAUCGGCAAAAUGUAGUGUACGUCGAAGUCUGAUUGUAAUCUCCAACUUCCCUUCCAUUCAGGCCCCCACUCGAUUAUUGCUUCAUAUAAAUUAGCAUCAGUAUUUAUAUUUAGCUCAUCUUCAUCAGCUUCAUCAUCCUCACAAAAGCCAUAGAUACGCAGAGCAAGAAACUCAAGAUUCUCCAACUUAGAAAUGUUUGGAGAUAUUUUCAGAUUUUUGCAUCCAUUCAUAAUUAGUUUUCGCAGACGAAAUAGCUUCUCAAUCCAUGGAGGAACCUCUUCUAUCCCAGUACAGCUCAACACCAACUCCACAAUGCUGUCAGGCACAUUUGGGAAGUCUUCGAUGUGUGAACACCCUGUAAUAUCCAAUACCUCUAGACUGAUUAAUGUACCUAUAGAUGAGGGGAGCCUCUUCAAAAGCAAGCAACCCCGAAGGUUGCAGACUGUAAGCUUAGUGGCAUUGCCAAUAGAGCUUGUGAUCUCUAACAAACUUCCGCAGCCACGAAGAUUUAGUUUCUCUAGACUCGUUGCUUCUGAGAGAUCUGGAAUCUUUUUCAGAUACUUGGAGAAACUCAAAUUGAACACCUUGAGGCAUGGGAGAGGCUACACAAAAAUAAACAAAGAAAGAUAUGAGUUUGAGAGAAAUGACCAAUCGAGCUAUACGCGCAGUACAAUACAAUACAAACAAUGCAGAAUAUAAUUACUUUGAUUCCCUCCCAAAGCUUCUCAAAAUUGCUCUCUUCCAUGAUUAGUUCCACAAGAAACUUGAAAGAAAACUUGGAAGGCCACAAUGUCAGUGGACAGUCUUUCCAAUCUAGAAGUCUGAGUUUGUAAAAAACAGUUGAGCCCAUCUGGUAUGCAUAAGGUUUUAGAGUCGACUGUUAGAAGCUGGAGGUUAUUCAUCCCUUGAAAAGCGCUUUUACUUAUCUGGAUUUCCUCGCUCCCUGAUGUACGCAACAUUAUGCCUAGAACAUUUCCAGUACCCUAGAAUAUAUUAUUCAAAAAUAACUAAUAAAUCUCAGCUUAAAAACCCCAAGGAAACAUAAGACUGCAGAUGUAAAAGGAUAAAGAAAAAUACUUACAGUUUCUUUAUGAAGUAGUUGGGAAAUAUCAUUGGUAUCCAUCAAGAAUUUUCGCUUUCCAGGCUCCUCCAAAGACUGUUUCUUGACAAUUUCUCUACCCAUUUGUUGCAAUAAACUGCAUAUAUACAUAUCCGUUUUCUAUAGAUAUAAGAGAUUUAUGAACUAAGACUUGAAUCCCAUAGCUAACUUCCAAACAUCUGUUUGCAAGAAAGGUUUGGAAGCGAUCAACCUCGUAACCAGCAAAGAAACAUGCAAUAUACAGAAAAAGAGCUUUUUCGUUAUCUCUUAACCCGUCGUAGCUGAAUCUUAGAGUUGAUUCAUUUUUGAGGCUAGACUUUAGCCUUGGUAGUGCAUCUAUCCAUUCUUUCCUAGACAAUCCUCGAAGAUACGAUCCCAUGACUUUUAGGUUUAGAGGAAGAUUACCAGCUAGUUCAGUAACUUCCCAAGCAAGCUCUUCGAAACCAGGAUAUGGAGACUUUUGACCGAAAGCAUAUUGGCAGAAGAUCUGAAAUGCGUCAACUUCAUCUGGAAAUUUAAUCUCGUGGAUAUGAUCGGGAUUCUUGAGUCCGAGUGCCUUGAGAUGUUUUUUAUCUUGGGUUGUAAUGAUAAUCCUACUUCCGGGACCUAACCAUCCAGGCUCGUUUGCCAUUUUCUCUAGUUGCCACAAGCUAUCCACGUCAUCAAGAACAACCAACACUUUUUUGUCACUCAGCUUUUCUUGAGUCACUCCCAAGUGACCAACCUCAAUUUCCCUUUGAUUGAAAAUCCCAGACAGUAACUGUUCCUGAUAAUCCAUUUGAGUUUGAUUAUGGGAGCCAUCAAGAGAAGGUAUCUCAUUACUUUCUCUGACACUCUCAAUAAACGUGCUGAAUGGAAAGUCAGGAGAGAGUUGGUUGUACAAAGCUCUGGCAGUGCUCGUCUUACCACUCCCAUGAGGGCCCACAAUUCCUAUAAUCUUAACGUCCUCUGAUUGUAGGGUGAACUUCGACUUUAUCUCCGAGAUACGAGCUUCCAUGCCAACAAAGUCAUCUGAUUUUGUAAUACCCAACACAUCCAUAAGCUCUACCACAAUUUUGUUGAUCAAAUCAGCUUCGUUGUGCCUAACAAAAACAGAGGCUAUUCAUGAAAACAGACAUCAUGAAAAGUACAUACAUAUCAUAAAAGCUAAUGGAAGUAAAUGGGAACGAACCAUCUGCGAGAGUCAUAACCAGCUAUAUUGGCGACACCCUCCAAAGCUUCCCUCCAUGCCUUUACCUUUUCUUCUUUCCCCACAGGUUUUUUCAAAGGCUUUCCCGAAAUCUCCGGUCUGCUUCCUAACAUCAGAUGGAUCCACUUCGUAGAAAAUGGAUAUCACUUUUUGUUGAUCCCUCUCCAUGAUUUCCUCCAACUCAUCUUGAUCCUUUGCCUUGCCUUUCAUG
rnacentral:lncRNA from 1 species